UACGAAGGUCCCGAGCGUUGUUCGGAAUCACUGGGCGUAAAGGGAGCGUAGGCGGCGUGGUAAGUCAGAUGUGAAAUCCCGGGGCUCAACCCCUGGAACUGCAUCCGAUACUGCCGUGCUUGAGGGUUGGAGAGGUAGCUGGAAUUAUCGGUGUAGCAGUGAAAUGCGUGGAUAUCGAUAGGAACACUCGUGGCGAAGGCGAGCUACUGGACAACAUCUGACGCUGAGGCUCGAAGGCUAGGGGAGCAAAAGGG
rnacentral:rRNA from 1 species